CCUACGGGAGGCAGCAGUAAGGAAUAUUCCACAAUGGGCGAAAGCCUGAUGGAGCGACGCCGCGUGAGGGAAGACGCCCUUUGGGGUGUAAACCUCUUUCGUGGGGGAUGAUAAUGACAGUACCCCACGAAUAAGCCUCGGCUAACUACGUGCCAGCAGCCGCGGUAAU
rnacentral:rRNA from 1 species